UACGUAGGGUGCAAGCGUUAAUCGGAAUUACUGGGCGUAAAGGGCGCGUAGGCGGCCUGUUAAGUCGAACGUGAAAUCCCCGGGCUCAACCCGGGAACUGCGUCCGAUACUGGCAGGCUUGAAUUCGGGAGAGGGAUGCGGAAUUCCUGGUGUAGCGGUGGAAUGCGCAGAUAUCAGGAGGAACACCGGUGGCGAAGGCGGGUCUCUGGGCAGUAACUGACGCUGAGAAGCGAAAGCGUGGGGAGCGAACAGG
rnacentral:rRNA from 1 species